rnacentral:rRNA from 1 species
GAUGAACGCUGGCGGCGUGCCUAAUACAUGCAAGUCGAGCGAACGGACGAGAAGCUUGCUUCUCUGACGUUAGCGGCGGACGGGUGAGUAACACGUGGAUAACCUACCUAUAAGACUGGGAUAACUUCGGGAAACCGGAGCUAAUACCGGAUAAUAUAUUGAACCGCAUGGUUCAAAAGUGAAAGACGGUUUUGCUGUCACUUAUAGAUGGAUCCGCGCUGCAUUAGCUAGUUGGUAAGGUAACGGCUUACCAAGGCAACGAUGCAUAGCCGACCUGAGAGGGUGAUCGGCCACACUGGAACUGAGACACGGUCCAGACUCCUACGGGAGGCAGCAGUAGGGAAUCUUCCGCAAUGGGCGAAAGCUUGACGGAGCAACGCCGCGUGAGUGAUGAAGGUCUUCGGAUCGUAAAACUCUGUUAUUAGGGAAGAACAAAUGUGUAAGUAACUAUGCACGUCUUGACGGUACCUAAUCAGAAAGCCACGGCUAACUACGUG